AUAUUUAGAGGAGAAACGUGAACCAAGAAUUAGCCCUAGCGGUGUUCAGUUUGAAAUUUUAGGUUGGUGGAGGACUAAUAGUACAAGGUAUCCUGUAUUAUCACAUAUGGCGAGAGAUAUACUAGCCAUACCAGUCUCUUCUGUUGCCUCAGAAUCUGCCUUUAGUACUGGAAGGCGAGUUAUUGAUUCAUAUCGAAGUUCACUGCUGCCUAAGACUGUUGAGGCGUUGAUUUGCACGCAAAGCUGGUUACAGACACCGGUUGAUCUUGAUCCAAACACCUUAGGAACUGAUGAUGCUGAAGAUGUUUCAGAAUUUUUAGGUUCUCUUGCAACUUCUAAGUUCAUCCGCAUUGACAUAGAUGAUGAUGAAGAAGAAGAAGAUUCAACUUUGUUAUCGUGAAGUUGAUUAUAAAUGAUUUAACGGGUUAGCGGUUACCAUUACAACCUCCUGUGGAAUACCCAAUUUCUACACAUGCAAAGUGUAUUCACUGUAACAAACUAUUUCCUGUCGACCCUUUUAGGAAUGAACUUAUGAUGUGUAGUCAGUUAUGAACUUAUGAUUAUGAUUUUUUGAUGUUUUUUCAUUUUUGUUAUUAAGGAGAAACUAGACUCUUUAAAAUUUAAUGUUUCUAUCAAUAUGUAUUGGAAGUUGGAACAUUUGAUGUAUUUGAAACUUGAGUGACAGGUUCAGAAAAAUUUGCCUGUCAUUUUUGUGAGACUGACAGAUAUAAAAAAUUUCAGUGGUUAACCAAAAACCGAAUGGUUUUAUACAAAACCGAGUUGGAACCGAACCGAGAAAAACCGAACUACCCAAAUGGUUUCAUUGGUUUUCAUUAUUGGAAACCGAGUAGUUCGGUUUCGGUUUAAUUUUUUCAAAAAACCGAUGAAAACCGAACCAUGU